rnacentral:lncRNA from 1 species
AUGCGUUGGUCCAUGGAUGUGGGGACGGAUCUUGAUUGUAAAGAUGGAUUCAUACCUCCAUGGCUUGAGGUCCAAUGUCAUGGACUUAUCUCUAUCUUUUCUCCCUUCAAGUUCACAUCCUCUGCCUCUUCCUCUCCACUGCGGGCCCCCUGGAAGAGCAGAAGCACACCCCGGGGACAGCAGAACAACGUGCCGGGGCGGCGAGGGGGAGAACAAAGAAUCCUUCAGCCCUGUGAAAAGUCUUCACUGGAAAAGGGAGUAAAUUCCAAGUCAGUACCGCAGGUUGUUUCCCCUGAAGGAAGCUGGCUGGUUGCUCGGGCCCUUACGGGCAUGUGCAGGGUCAGGCAGAGCGAAAGGAGGUGCCCAGCAGCAGAGAGCUCUGACUUCAUCUUGACCUCAAGGCAACGCUGCUCUAUGUUCAUUUUUCUGUGAUUCCAGUCUGCAGGCCACAACAUAUAAUCAAGACUUCCCUUACCGAGAGGAGCUACCACUAGAACAGGGAGAGCAAAAUAUAGGCUAGCCCUGUAAUGUGAGCGUGUGAACGCAGGAUGGGAAAUGCAAAAGGGAAGGCAUGAAGAAAGAGUUGCAGGAUAUAAGUAACACUGACAUGGGCACUUAUUCCUCUGGCAUGUAUAUAAUCAUAUGAUAAUAUGCAGUUGGGAGACCGUGGUGGAGCAUUUCAAGCAAAGGGAACAACUGGUGCCUAGAGUUCCUCUGCGUAUCUAUUGCAUCAACAUAAUGACAUGGCAAAAUAAAAGAAAGGCCAGGGCAGAUGUUAGAGGCGAG